ACCUUGGUCUUUUUGAAGACCAUAAAAGAAAAAUUUAAAAAAUCAUU
rfam:Rhodnius prolixus Rhodnius_prolixus-3.0.3-265.24, whole genome shotgun sequence.